UUUUUUUUUUUUUUUUUUUUUUUUUGUAUUUGUCUGAGUGUUGAAUAUUAAUAUUUAGUUCUUAAAUAAUGAGAAGAACAUGGGAACCAUGCCAUUUUGAAACUGGAAAUUUAGUUACAUUACAAUAAUAUUUUAGCCCUUGACUAAAAUAGGAAAUAAAUUAUUCAGUGUUUGCCACCGGAAGAACCGGUCACGCGAGAAAACAUUAUAGUUGACCCCAGAGACUAAAAUUAAAGAAACUGGCAUAGCCCGUAUAGCCGGUAAAUUCGUUUCCUCGUCCCUUUUUUUAGUAUGCAGGUUUUAAAAGUCAAUUUUCUGACAGUAUCACAGUUCAUAACUCUAUACCAUGUAUUUAUGUUAAUUUAAAUCAUUGUUAAGAAUAAAACCACUUAAAUAUUCAUUUCGAGGCUCACUGGGCUCUGAAUCAAUAUAUAUAUAUAUAUAUAUAUUAAAAUUAUGAAUUUUUAGUUUUGUGAAAUGUAAUAUUAAAUUUCAAAAUCAACAAAUCUUAAAAUUCUAUAUGUAGUUUUCAUAAAUGUUUAAAUUUCACAUUUUACCCAUCCAAACCAUCACUAAAUAAUCUUUCCUUAUGAUCCAGCCACUCUUUUGUUUAUUUUCCUAAACUUUCUCCACGUGUUGCAAAUCAGAGCUAAGGAGAGUAAAAUUGAAAAUUUUCAAGCAAUUAUUAUUUUUUGUAAUAUACUCUUUGGCUUUUGACGAAAAAUUUCUCUCUAUCUCUCACUGUAUUAUUUUUCUUUUUGCCAACUCGACAAUUGGCGGUGAUUGGGCCUACCAUAGUGAAGCCUGUAGACUACUAUACACUCUAUCAUCUGACCCAGUUACGAGGCCGUAGCUACUUGUACCUGUAUUGUCUCAUUCGAAUCUGUCUCCUGGAAAUUUCCCUUUUAUUAAAAACAUUUUUUUCCUUUUAUCAAAGUUUUUAGUGAGCAGGAGCACAUUGAGUUAGUCUGAACAUCCAAUUAAUAUCUACGAAAAUAAUAUUUAAAAAGGAUCCAAGUUGAUUGAUGACGUUGGCAGAUGUGAGAUUCAGUAAUUUUUUUAAGGGAAAAAAUUCAUGAAUUUCAUAUUAGAUUUUUUCUUUAUCUGUCAAUUCUAACUUUGUGUGUAGCAUUUGAUUCCUUAUAUUUUUAUUAUUAUUAUUUUCGUAAAUUAAAGAGGUGGAUAGAAUAUUCAACAUUGAGUAUAUUCCCAAGCAAAGAGAGAAAUUAUUAUUAUACUAGGGCUAUGAAUGUUUCAGAUGUCGAUUCCUUAUUUAAAUUUUCUUUUUUUUUUUUUUUUAUCUUUAUAGUAAGAUUAUAUUCUUAAUUUUAUGUUGUUGAUACAGUCAAAGGCCCAGGGCUUAAAUUGCAUAUAAAAAUAGAAAAUUAACUAGUUAAUUGAUUAGUAUUAAUCAUUUAGCAUUUGUUGAUUCAAAUUCAAAUAAGUCACGUUUACUCAAUUUUCACUUUAUAAAUUUUAACCUCUUACUCCAAAAAUAUUUUUCUGAUAAAAAAAAACUAAACUAUUUUGAAACUAUCCAUGCAUUGUGCGGGUUUAAAGGAUUGUUUUAUUAGUAUAUUAUAAUUUAUACUUUAUAAAUUGCAUUUACUAAUAAAUUAACAAAAAUAAAAAUGUCUCUUAAUUAGUGUGAGUCAAUAAAUUUAUCUUUAUAGGUAUGAACCAAUAAAUAUAGUCAUACGUAUAAAAUUUUAAAAAUAAAAAGCUAAUUUAAGAGUCUUGUUUAAUAAUGUCUUCUGAGAAUAUAAAAUCUAGAAUAUGUAUACACAUGGAAUAAUAACCAUAUUUUGCAUUCGUGAUCACUUCAUUCAACAGUUUAAGAAAUUCAACCAAUUCAGCAAGGUUAAAUUUAUAUAUCAAUAAAACUAAAUCUUUAAACAUCACCACAAUCAAAAGAAAUAACGUUAUAAAUGCGAAAGUUUAUAUUAGUAUCAACUUAGCAUAUAUAGAACCUUUAUUUUCUACUUGAAGCUAUAUCGAAAAAUAGAAAGAGUUCAUACCAGCAUAAAUUUUUGAGUACUAAUUAUUAACAAAGACAAUAAAGAACACUAAAAAAAAUCAAGUGAUGGGUAUAUAUGAUUCUAAACAAAUUGAUGUUCAAACAAUGGUACAAAUUAGGUUUUUAAAAAGAGAAGAAUUGUAGCUUUAAAGUCAGAUGAAACAAUUUUAAGCAUAUAACUCCAAAUCAUGCACAAUUUUGAUUGAAUAUCAUUGCCGGGUAGGCGGAAGCAAAAUGCUCUUCUUCGAAAUAUAAUUUAGUCUGAUUAGGAAUGUGAUGAUUGAUGUUUACUUGCGAGAAGAUAAUUAAAUUUUGAAUGUAAGCAAAAAUAUAUGUAAUAAUUAACUAAUAUGCGAUACAAAAUAAAGAAAAGAAAAAAUUCAACAUACAACAAAUUAACAAAAGAAAGAAAGCAAAACAGUAAUCAUAAGCCACUGACUAUGAUUAUAUAUAGAUACAAAUAUAGGUAUAAAAUUAAAAAUUUUCAAAAGCCAAAUUAUCUUUAAAAAUUUAAAAUGUUAAAAAAUGAAAAUCAAAUAUUGAAUAAAAUAGAAUAAUUAGAUUAGAUUUCAAGAUAUAUUGCUAUUAUCUAACUAUUAAUUUUAAAAUUAAAAAAAUAUAUAUAACCAUUUAAUCAAAAUAUAGCAAAAUAAAGAAAAAUCCAAAGAUUCCAAUUAAAAAUUUUUAAAAUUUUAAAUUUUGAAAAAAAUGAAAAUCCUAUACGAAAUAAAUAGAAUAGUUGUUAAAUUAUAUUAGAUUUCAAAAUAUAUUGUUAUUAUCUAAAUAUUAAUUUUAAAAUUUAAAAAUAUAUAACCCUCCAAUUGAAAUAUAGAAAAAUAAAGAAAAAAAAUUCUAAAAAUGGCAAUUAAAAAUUUUUGAAAUUUUUAAAAAAUGAAAAUCAAAUACCAAAUAAAAUAGAAUAUUUGUUAAAUUAUAUUAGAUUUCAAAAUAUAUUGCUAUUAUCUAAAUAUUAUAAUUAUUGAUUUUAAAAUUAAAAAAUAUAACCAUACAAUCAAAACAUAGAAAAAUAAAGAAAAAAAAUUCAAAUAUUCCUAAAAAAAGAUAAAAUAGAAUACUCAAAUAAUAGAGUACCAAUUCACAUCAUUUUGCUUGAGGAUUAUAUAUAUAUAGAACUUCAUAUUGUUAAAAUCAAAGGGACAAUAUCAUUCAUAAAUUUAUUAACUAGUUACUUCCGACCACAACAACUAUUGCAGCCAAUAAUAUGGAUCACUGGUCAUUAAUGCAAUUUAUUAUUUUUAUGCAUUUGUUACAUUUAAGAUUAAACUUUUAAAAUACGAAAUUUAAAUUUAAAAUUUUAAUAAUUUUUAUGCAUUUCUAAGAAGCUUUCAUCGUUCCGUUAGUCAAUUAUCUUAAAAAAUAACCAAACAAAAAAAUGUCACUCUCGUUGACUAUUUAGUGUUUCCCAUACAGUUAACUAUAAUUCUGUUAUUAGAUCUCAGAUGUAUAAUUACAAGCAAGGUGUUCAUACAUUGUUCAUGCCACAACGAAUUCCAUUUGCCCGUUAAAUAGCCAUAUUUAAGGUUUAAGAUUUAAAAAAUAAGAAUUAAUGUCAUUAUCAGAAAUAGACAAUAUAAUGUUUUUACUAAUUCUAAAUGUAAUUAACUUUGUUUAAUGAUUAAUAUUAUUUGGGGUUGGUGAUGCUAAUUGUCAUGCAUCAUGCACGUUACUUUCAUCUACGAUAUCCCAUCCUUCAACUACGUGUAAUCCAACUCUUCUAUAACUUGGUCAUACAAAAAUAUAAAUUAACCUGGUCAUGUAUGUUAAUUCUAGAUGAAGUAAUUAGCAAGUAAUCUUAAUAAUGUAGCUAGAGUUUUUUCUUGAAAAUAUUUAUAUAUAUUUGAGUAUUGUAAAUAAUAGUAUGUAAAAAAUUAUAUUUGUAUAAAUAUUUUUAUAAUUAAAGGUAUUAAUGUAAUUAUGUAUUUUAAAUAUGUUAUUUUUUUAUAGGAAUUUAAUUUUUCCGUCAUUUGAGGAGGAAAGUACUUUUCCACGUACGAUUUUUCUGAGAAAAAAAAGAGUGAAAGAGGCCCAAUUAGAAGUGUUGGGCUUUGUGGGUCUAAAUUCAAAGAUUUUUGAAAUGGCCCACAUCUCUGUUCAAUAAAACCCGAAUGGCUCAGUUAAUGUCAUUUCUCUGGAGUUAAUGUGGUCUAAAUUGAAAGAUUUUUGAAAUUGCGCCAUUACAAAUGUCGGAGACAAUUUGGAUGGAGGAAGGAAAGGAUUUGCCAAAAAUGUGAUAAUUUUUUUUCUCGGUAACAUUAUUGUCACAACACUUUAUGUUGAAUUAGAGUAAUUAAUUUUACUUAAUUAAAAUUUGUCGGAAUUAUCCUUAAUUAAUUUUUCUACUUCAAAUAUUUCAUUUUUUCUUUCACAUUAAUUUUUUUCCGUUUUUAUUCCAACUGUCAAAACGAUAAAAAAUUUUCGAUAAUCGCCCCUCUUCUCUCUUCGAUGUUUGGAAAAUAACUGGUGAAGGAGGUCCCGAGAAGUAAUCCAUCAGUAUUAAGUUUUAAGAAAUUAAGGCGUGGUGGAGGAGACCAAGAGAUCCAGGAAUUAUGCUUUUGAUUUGGUACUUUACUGGAAAACCAAUUACCUUAUCCGCCAAAAGUAACUCCUUAGCCGAAGCAAUAAUGUCCUGAACCACCACGUCCACAGUAGAUCAUUGCUCAAUAAAAACACACUUAUUUCCCCUUUUCCACAGCUGCCAAACAGGCCACCCCAAAAACAACAGACCUUGGAGUACCUGAUUCGUAUUCUUCAUUGCGCUUUUAGUGUUCACUCUGUCUCAUAUACUUUUAUCUCUCAAAUUUAUAUCAGGCCUUUCAAGAUUCUCAUACCCAUUUCAUAUGUUAUUAUAUCAGUCGAGUAUAGGCAGUAUAUAUAUGCACUCAGUGUAAGAAACACUUAAAAUAGUCAUAUUGACAUAUCCAUUUUAACUCGAGAUAUGUUUAUGCAUGUGGUUUAUAAUAUAUUAGAUACAAAUUAUACAUAUAUAUAUACCAUAAUAUGUUUAUGCAUGUCUCUCAUAAUAUAUGAAGUAUGGGAAAAAAGGGUCUAAAAAUCAAGAUAAGUUGCAAUAAAACAGAGACAUAAACAACAAUUGUAAAAUUUAGAUCCAGCAAGCAACUUGAAAUACAAAGGCAACAACAAUACAUUGAUUUAGGAUAACACACAACAUGAGGACGUCUAAAUAAUUAUCUAUGCUUGUAGUGGUGUAUGCACUUAUUACUAUUAUUUUUUGCUUUAACUUUGCAAAUCAUCAUAAAGACAGACGUACGUGAACUCAUUUUCCAUGGCCAUUUGAGCCUGACCCAGCCCUUGAACCAGCAUAGGACCCAGCAGAAGAACCUGCUUCAGAACCUGCACCUGACCCACCAUUAGACCUCGAUGAAGAGGAAGAGCUUGAACUUGAGCUUGAACUAGAGCUAGAUCCACCAGACCCAGAACCUGAACCGGCUCCUGCACCUGACCCUGACCCACCACCGCCUAGUCCAAGUCCUAACCCAACUCCCAAGCCAACCCCUACUCCACCAAGGUCUAUCCCCAAGUCCUUUCUUGCAACCCUGGUUUCACCUAAUGCGAAGGUUAAAACAAGUAAACCAAGAAUAGCUAAACACUUGAAAUUGGCCAUUUUUGAACUCAAGAAAGCGAAGCUCUAAAUGGGUAUUAGAUAUUAUUAUUGCUAUUAUUUUCCGUGAAGAUUUGGUGAGAUGGGUCUGAGAGAUAUAGGGGUAUAUUUAUAGUGUUUAGAUAGUGAGGUUUUGGUAGUUGAUGGUGCGAAGGCAAGUAUUUUUCACAGUAAAAUAGUUGUCUUAUAGUGCAUUAACUUUUGAUAUUUCGUUCCGUAUCUUUUCAAAAACAAUUUACCGGAAAAUAAGUCAUCAAAAACUAUUUUUCUAGUCAAAGAGAAACUAAAUUAUUUUCAAGAGCAUUUUUUGACAUCGACAAACUUAUUAUAACUUUAUUAAUGCAUAUUUUUUUAAUUCAUCAAUCACCAGUAGCUACUUCCAUCAGUCACCGUUCAUCACUAAUUACCACCAUCGGCCACUGUUGAUCAUCAUCAUAGUUACCGCGACUUUCAUAAUUUACUAUUUUUUAUAUAUUUUCUCAUAUUUAAUAAUAAAAUUUUUAAAAUAUGAAAUUUCUAUUAUUAUAAAUUUCUUAUGGUUUUAUUAGUUAAAAAUUUUAAUAUUUUUUUUAACUAAUUUUUAAUAUUACAAUCGAGCAACAGAAAUUAAAUUAUUUAAAAAAUAUUUUUUAAAAAAUGUUUUCUAGUGAUAAAUUAUUUUUCGAAAAUAAAUGUAGCCUAAGCGUGUAUAAUUGAUUUCCUUGUUCUUCAUAAGAGUAUAAGAACAUGAAGUGGGUAAAGAUUAAAAAUAUUUGCUUUAAAAAACAAAUGAUAGUGCGUAUAAAAGUUUUGUAGACUGUAGCAGGAAGUAGUGGAGAGGCAUGUGGUUUAGGUUUGCUUUGCUUUGCUUUAUCACUGGGAAAAGUGAUGUGAACUCAUAUUUCAUUCUAAUGGCUUGCGGCCAGAAAUUUGUUUUUUGUGGCUGAAAAGGCUAAAGAAUUGCAGGCCCUUAUUAUGAUUUUGCAGUCCCAAUUCUCAAAUGUUGGACACGACAUUAUGAGAUAUACAAUCCAGAGUUGUUGCCGACCCACGAAUUCCACUAACAAUACCAUAGUGCAAUAUGAUUAAUUCUAUGUAUUAUUUUAUUUAUUGAUUGGAAGUGGGCAAGGACAAUUAAAAAAAAAAAGAAGAUAAUUAUGAAUUCAAGAUGAGGAGAAAAAAUGAAAAAUGAUAACAGGAAGUGCUGGAAUGUUCAAGAUUUGAAGUGUAUAUGCAUGAUUACGAGAGUUUUGGUUUUUAUAUGUUAGUGAGAGCAUGUUCGCACACUCGAUUAUGGAUUAAAUAAGAAAUUAAUCCAUUUCGAACCGAGUAAUGAAUAUAUUUAAAACCUCUUCAAGAUAUUACUUUUAAAGGGUGAGAUGGAAUUGCAUGAAUUUCUCCUUGAGCCCGGAAUAUAAACACUAAUCGGUUGAAAUCAAAAGAAAAAAAAAAACCUGACUACACGUCUUUAUAUUAUAAUUAAGUGCAGUAUUUAGUGCGCUCUAAUCACUAGACAAAACUGUUUUAAAUUAAAAUGUUUUGAUUUUUAAAUUGUGAAAGAAGUCGCAAUGUUAGUGUAUUGUAUAUACUUCUUUAAAGGCUGUUUGUUCAUAUAUUUGAGUUUGGCUUGAGAGAACACUUCUGAAACGUAAAUAAAAUGAAAAAAUAGAGAAAAAAACAGAAAAUUAUAUAAAAGAAACACUCAUUAUUACUAUAAUAAGUUUUCAAAUAAUUUCCUUCAAAUUACUUAUUUGCCGUGCAUAAGUGCGGUUGUUUGAAAUUGAAUAGAAUUUGGAAUUGGGCAAAACGUAUUGGCAACCUGUCUAUUAAGUUAGCUACAAUAGAAAUCAGAAAUAUCAUAUAUAUACGUUGAGGACUCGAGAUUGUCAUACUUUAACUUAUUGUCCAACUUGUCAAUGAUUUUUCAUCAGUUUACAAUUUCAAUAUGACAAUCUCUUUGUCUUUCGAGAGAUAGUCUUUAAUUUUCUAAUUACAAAUUAAAUUGAAUCGAGUCAAAAUCGAGUAUUUCAAACCCAAACUUUACAUUUUAUAUUCAUCACUUCAGCUAUAUUACAACUUAUACAUGUGAGGAUUGAAAUCUUGUAAUUAGUUAAUUAAUUAUUAAUUUACCACUAAUUUUAUAUUAUUGUUAGACCAACCCACUUGUCUGCCACACAAGAUGAUCUUUAUACAUGGAGAUAGCUCCAAAAAGCACUGGCUAUUAUUACCAUUAUACAAUAAUUGCAAACAAUGUACACAUGCUCAUGAAAUGGUACCUUCCUCUUUCUUUUAGUAGGAAAGCUGUAACGCAUAAUGAUGGAGUCUUGCGUUUCAAGCAACGGUGCCAUUACUUUUGCAUCCAUUAUUUAUUCAGACAAUACGUUGGCUCUGUACUAUGAUUCAUGAAUGAGUGUAGUACGCAAGAGAAGAUUAAAGCAUACCAAUUAGACACUUUCUUUCUUCUUUCUUCUUUUUUUUCUGAUUAAUUAUGAAGUUGUUCAUGGAUGGAUUGGGAUUGGGAUUUAGCUUAACAAUUGUCAAACUUUUUCUAAAAUUUCCGAACACAUACGAAUCAAAUGUUCAUACAACGAUGACCAACAAACAAAUCUUGUUGUGAUUGGGGUUCAAGUUCGUGAUAAGAAAUUUUGGAAAAAACAAAUCUUUUUUUUUUUUUAAUUUAUUCAUAUUAUAGCUAUAAUUUUAUUGCAUCCAAAUGGUUACAGUGAAAGAGAUGGAAACACAAACACAUAUAAAAGCACUAACGAACUUAGUUUUCUUAUUUUUUACAUGCCCUAAUUAAACUAUAUUAUAUAUUGAUAAAAUUCGUAUAUUAUUCUCUUAAUUGCCACCGCCACGUCCAUACCCUUCACCAUGGCCACCGCCCUCACCGUAUCCUUCACCAUCUCCGGAGCCGCUUCCUUUGCCAUAACCUCCACCAUAUCCUCCACCAGACCCGGAACCUCCUCCAUGACGACCUGAACCUGACCCUGCUCGAGACCCAGCGGAAGAACCCGCUUCAGAACCUGCUUCAGAACCUGCACCGCCUGAACCCGAUCCAGCGUGAGACCCUGCAUAGGAACCGGCUGAUGAACCUGCUUCAGAACCUCCACCAGAGCCUGAACUGCUAGACCUGGAUGAGGAAGAAGAAGAUGAACUUGAUUCAGAACCUGAACCAGAUCCUGAACCGGAGCCAGCUCCAGCUCCUGAGCCACUUCCGCUACCUCCUAUGCCUAAACCUACUCCUGCUCCAACCCCAAGGCCUACACCACCAAGAUCAAUACCCAAGUCCUUUCUUGCUGCUCUGCUUUCGGAUUCAAUGGCUGAUAGUGCAAGAACCAAACCAAUGAGAGCUAAAGACUUGAAUGGAACCAUUUUCUUUUGGAGAAGAACAAUAUUAUGUGGAAUACUAUAGUUCUCUAAUGACACUGUCAGAUUACAAGAUUCUGUUGCGAUGAAGAGUGAAGAGAAUAUGGAGACGCAUGAGCUAUUUAUAAUGGUCAUUUCUAUUCUCAUGUCUAUAAAAAAAUGUUUAUCCUAGGACUGGAAUGGACGCGUGAAAGCUUUAAUUAUUAUUUGUGACUGUGACCCAAAAAUUAUGUAAUAUUUGGAAUAAAUUUAUCCAUCUUCAAUAAAUUUAAAAUAAACACUGUUUUUUUUUUUUUUUUCUUUUGGUUUUUAACGUUAGGUGUAUAGUUGUGUUUUAAUGUAGUCCAAGCAGAAAUAUAUAUUAUUUUUAAUAUUUUUUAGACAAUUGAACUCUAGUAAAAAAAUAUAUAUAUUCUUUUGGUAUUUCAUUAAUCUUUUUCCUAUUUAAUAGUUAAUCUCUCUGUAUUUAAUAUGUUAAUUUUAUUACUCGAUCCUUUAAUCACCGAUAUAAAAUCUAAUGAAGCUUAACCACUAAAUCAAACUGUAUUAGAUUUGUCUCACUUUUCUAGUUCUGUUAAUGCAUGGAAUAAAUCUCUAGAGAUAAUAUAAUAGGCUAAACAUCUCCAUAGUGGAGGAAUACAUCUUUUGAACCCAUAUGAUUGAAGGAAGUGGAAUAAGUGGAAACGUGGCUAAUCUAAGACUUUGCUGGACAGAAAUUUGUGGCUGAGAUAGCCAUUUACCAUAUUUUUUUGACAUGUGUAUGUAUUUGACUAUUUGCCAAGCCAUUUUGAGUGGCACCUACUCCUCUCCCCCACGACAGUGUGGAGUAUACUAUAGUUUAUUAUUUAUUUCUGUUGACUGCAUCUUGCCUCUUCAACGUGUCCAUGCACUUUGCAAUCCCUGUUUAUUUUUUAUUAUGAAAAUAUCAAAUAUUGCAAGUUCUAUGGUUUCCAAUAAUAAGCUUUCCAAAAACUUAUAUACAUUAGUUUAUCGAUAUGUGAUUAUUAGUCGAAGUUUAAAAGCUUUGAAGUCAGAAUUUGAGAAAUAAAUCAUGAAUAUAUAGAGAAUUAAACAUAAAGAAUAUGUUCUAAAUUUUUGUCUUGAAUAUAUUAAUUAAUUCAAUUACUAGAUUAAUAAGUUAUUAGAAAUUAAUACCAUAAUUGAUUCAUGAAAAAACUUCUUUUUUCUAAAUAUUGUGAAGUUUCAUUUGCAUUUUACUAAGAAAAGUCAUAAAUACGUAGCUAUAAAGGGUGUGGAUGCUUCUAAUUAAUGUGUUUUUUGCAUAGUUAUGUAUUCAAUUUUAAGUUUUAUUUCCACGUUUUGUUAUUAUUUAACUCUAUUUUUCUAAAGCUUUUGUAUUUUUACAAUUGAGUAAUCCCUCUUAAUUUUCAAGAAGAGAUUUAUCUUAUUUUGAUGAUGUAUUUCAAUGGGGGUGUUGGCUCGAUUUAACACUUAAAUUUGUUAAGUUCUUUUUGGAUUUAAAAUACUAAAAUAAAGAAAUUAAAUUUACGGAUAAAAAAAGAAAAGAAAAGUCAUAAACGUAUGAGUUUAUAAAUUUUAAUUCUAAUUGCUUUUUGCACGUUUAACUUGUUUUCAAAAAACCAAUUUUGCGAUGUUUCAUUUUUUUUUUCCACCGCAAAAAAAAUAUAACAAAAAAUUUGUUUCUCACUCAUCUAUCACUACAAUAAAAAAAAAAAAAAUUUAAUUACCCAAUUGGAAACUUUCAAAAUUCUUGCACAUCUACUUAUUUUUCAAAAAGAAGAAGUCUUUAAAAGGUAUGAAUUUUCUGUUUUAUAUUCUUUCUUUAAUUAGUUUAUUAUUGUGAUUCAAAAGUAAGUUGCAAAUAUAUUUAUUUUUAUUUAUAUAGAAUAUAAUAAUUGAUUAGUAUUGAAAAUAAUGGUUUAAUGAAACAAUUGUUUCAAUGUUCUAAAAGAAUGUUACAUUUUUCUUUGUCUUAGUUAAUUUGAUGUUUGGUAUAUAUAAAUUAAGUGACAUUUUAAUUACUAUUGUAUUUAAGGAAAGACUAUGAAAUAAAAAAAUUUAAUACGAUCAUAUAAUAUUUAAGUUGAAAUUUGAAUUAUUCAAUUAUAAAGAUAACAAAAAAAUUAAUAUAAAAAAUUAUUUCUUCCAAAAUUGUAUUUUAGAGGCAAACAAUCUAAGGCCUCGUUUGGUUCAAAUCGAUCUAUUUCCUAGGAAGUUGACUUCCAGGAAAUAGAAUUUUAGGAAAGUUACUUCCCGAAAAGUAGAGUGCGUGUUUGGUUGAUAUAUUGAAUUUCCAGGAAGUAAAACUGGAUUGAUGAAUUGUAAGAUUACAAAUGACAAAAAAUACCCUUAUCAUAUAUAAUAAUUGGAAUAUUUCAUUGAAAAAAAAAAAAGUUAAUAACCUAAAAUAUUUCAUUGAAAAAAAAAAUUAAUAACCUAAAAUCAAUCUAAUAAAAUACGUUUUAUAAUAUCCACUAACUUGUAAUCAAUAUAACUUUUUAAUUACAUAUUGUACAAAAUAUUAUUAUAAUUUUAUUUUUUUGGUUAAUGUCAUAAUUACAAACAAAAUAAGAAUAAUAAUUCUUUAAAAAAGCCUAAUAAGGAAAGAGAAUGUGUUGAAUUAGAAAUAAAAUGGACCAAAGUAAAAAUACAGAAAUCACAUUAUUGGUGGACAAACACGUAUACAUUGGAAGGGAGAAAUUGGGAAUAUGAAGUUUUUGAGCUAAGGAAGUCCACUUCCUAUGGAUGAGUAGGGGAAGUUACUUCCCGUGCGGUUAGAGAAGUUGUAUUUUUAAGUUCUUAGAAAUUACACAAUCUGUGUCAACCAAACAUACUGAAAAUCUGUAUUUUUUGAAAACUUCAACUUUCUCCCAUCACUUACCCCCAACCAAAUGAGGCCUGAGUAUAUUGAUAAAAUUUGGAUUUUUGUCUAAAAAGAUUGAGCGAAAAAUAGUGAAAUCCUAUAUAUUCUUUUAUAUACAUGUUUGUCUUUGCUCUCGAUAAACCUUCCAAUAAUCAGAGUUUCGAGUUUCAAAUUUCAACUUCGUAAAUAAAUUCAUUUAAUUUAUUAAACAAAUUAUAUCACUAAAACUAAGAGGAAUGACAAAUAAUAAAAUGAUGAAGCUACGAAUUUGGAUAAUAUUAAAAAUCUUUCUUCUUGGCAACUACAUUUUUUAGUGUUUUAUCAAUUUUAUACGUACAUAUCGUGUUUUAUUAAUACAACUUUUUUAAACAAAUAAUUUUAAUUUUUUUAAUUAUUUAGUAAAUUUUAAAUCGAUCUAAUUUAUAAAUUAGAUCAUUGAAUAUAAUGAUUUUAUAUAUCAAAAUAUUUAAUAACUAUAAUUUUGUAAUUAAAAUAUUUGAUGGGCCAAAAUAAAAGUUAGAUAAGCGAAUUUGUUCAGUUGAAAAUUUUAAUCAAUACAGUUUUUAUAUGCUAAUAGUGCUUAAUGAGUUAAAAUAUAAAUUAGUGAAUAAAUUCAUUACAGUUUUAACCAAUACGAUAAUUAGCAAAGGCAUAAAUUCAUUACUAGUAUUUUAUUGCAAUUAGUGAAUUAUUUUGUUUAAUUUUAUUUUAUUUUUUGGAGCAGCGCCAUCGGCCGCAGAGACAACCGUCCCCAGCCCAGUCGCUCACCUUCGACGCUUCCUGCGCCGCGAAACUGCCACCGGUGCUGUCUCUCUUUACACCGGGCACAUCUAUAAAUACAUACACAGAGCCUCUGUCAGUUUCCCUUUCUCUUACAUCGUCUUAGCAUUUAUUCUCAGACCUGCAAUGUUCCUAUUUUAAGUUUACAUGGAUUUUUGUCUUUUAGUAAAACUAUAAUUAUAUGUGUGAAUUUUUUUUUUAAAUUUCAUUCAAUCAAUGCUUAUGAUUCUUCGUUCUCAGAUGUCAAAAUUUUGACCUUGAUCUUGCACCAAGCUUGAACUUGAAAUUUUGCUCGAUUUGACCUACUUUUUUGUUAAUAAUUUUUAAUUAAUGAAGGAACUAUUGGAGUUUUGUCAAUUCAUUUCAAUCUAAGGUUAUUUAGUUAAAUUUGCAGCUAGAAGUAGUGUUUAUGGAUGAUGGCAAGUGUAUUCUGAUUGGGAUGGAUUAAGCAAUUAACUUGAAUUUUUCUGUCGAUUAUUGCUUGAGAAAGCAAACCACGAAUUGAUGAAACUAAAAAACUGGAUUAAUUCACUAGAAGAAUGCAUAAUCAGGAAGAAUAUAACAAAGUUAUUUAUAACUUAAGUAAUUUUAAGACUGCAAGUUUAUGGGAGAUUGGAUGAUAGAACUCCAGAAACUAGAAUUUAAAUUCAGAAGUGUAUAUUUAAUUUAGAUACAUAAAUGACACAAUGGCCUGGAAAAGACGGAACAAUAGCGCAGUUGGCCAUUGUUUUUGUAUGGAUUGGCUUAUUAGCAGUGUUUUUACUGAAACUUGGAUGACCAAUAUUGGUCCUUCUAAUAUUAUGUUAGUGGAUGAAGACUGGUGUGUUUAAGGUAAUUCUGUUAUCUAGCUACCCAGGACAACUCGCGAGCUGUUAACCAAUGAUUUUCCAUUGAAGGAAUUUGUCUUGUCUUGUUGGUACGAAAUUAUUUCGUAUCUUCGGAAGAGAUUCUUUAGAAUCCAUAAAUCAAGUGAUUCAUUAAAUGUAGAAAUAGAAAAUUAUAGAAUAUCUCCUCAUGUUUAUGGUCAUGAUUCCCUUGCUUGAAACAGAUAUCUGGACAUUGAGAUUUCUGAUUCGGCAAAUUAAAGCUUAACAGCUGCCAUAAACUUGGGUAAUUGUCAAGUUGAUGGCUGGAAGACGGCAUAUCCCACCAAUUUUGGAGGGACGUGCUGUCCAGGCUCCUGGGUUGAUGCGACACGGCCCAUUUCCUCCUGGCCAUCGGCCAUCAGAUGGACGUCCUCCUCCAGAUCUUUUAGAGAAUAAAAUUGCUUCUCAGGCAGCUGAAAUUGAACAACUUGCCGGGGAUAAUCAUAAAUUGGCUACUUCCCAUGUGGCUUUGAGGCAGGAUCUUGUUGUUGUGCAGCAGGAAGUGGAACGACUCAAGGCACACAUUAGAAGCAUCCAGACUGAAAGUGAUAUCCAGAUUAGAGUUAUAUUGGAUAAAACUACGAAAAUGGAAUCAGAAAUUAGGGCUGGUGAGAGUGUGAAGAAGGACCUGAGACAGGCACAUAUGGAGGCACAGAGCUUGGUUAAAGCCAGACAAGAGUUAACUACCCAAAUUCAACAGGCCACUCAGGAAUUGCAAAAAGUUCGUGCUGAUGUUAAGAGUCUACCAGAUUUGGAAGCUGAGCUUGACAAUUUGAAGCAUGAAUACAGGAGGUUGCGGUGAGUCAUUCAUUAUCUUAACUCUUUUGUUAGCAGUUCAUAAAUACUUCCAUCGCACUCUUCCUGACAUUUAGUGAUAGUUUCUCAAGUUGAAAUUACUGAUUAAGAGGUAGAAAGUUGUUAAAAGAAUUUGCCACCCGUGCCUCUCUAUUUAUUGAUGGGAGUGGUUGGAACUUUGCCCAAUAUUUUUCUUUGGGACGAUCUGAACAUUUUGUCAUGUUGAUCAUAACACUAAACUGUCAUAGUUCCUUCAACCUCUCUGUAUAUCGAGUAGAUUAUAUCGUUCAUGCUAACCGAGAAUUGGAAAUUCUAUGAAUAUCCUGGUUGGUGAAAAUCAUCUCAUGAUAGUUUACUCCUGCUGAAAUACCUUUGUGCUACUGAAAUAUUAAAGUACACUGAUUCUUGAGAUAUAAUAUGUUGCCGUGUGUUAAUGGAUUAUUUGCAAUGAAACUUAAAAAUGAGAAAGAGAGAGACUUUCUUGUUUUUCUUAUAUAUAUUUUUAUUUUGGGUAAGUACAACAAACUUACAACAGUAGAUAAUUUAUAGGAAUAUGUAAUUUUAGAAUGUUUCCGUUUCCUUUUUCUAAUAAUCUUUUCCCUGAGGCUAGCAUUACUGAUGAAAUGGUGCUGAAUUAGAAAAAUACCAAAUGCUACUCUUAUGCCAACCUGAAUCCAAAUCAUCAAAAGUUCUAAUGGCUUUUGAAUUUCUUUUCUUUUCUUUUUUUUUUUUUUUUUUUUUUUUCAAAAUCUGUUGUUUGGGUAAAAGGGCUACAUUUGAGUAUGAGAAAGGUUUGAACAUAGAAAAGGUGGAGGUACUGCAAGCCAUGGAACAGAAUCUAAUUGGGAUGGCAAGAGAGGUCGAAAAGUUGCAUGCUGAGGUCUUGAAUGCUGAAAAGAGAGUACAUGGUAACUUCCUCUUGCCUGCUAAUGCUCUCUCUCUUUCCAAAGUUUGCUUAAAAUAUUUUAUUCUCUCAUAGUACUUGUGCUAAUAUGGUGGCUUUCUAGCACCCAACACAUACGGCGGUGGCUUUGCGACUUCCGACCCUUCGUACCCAACCCCUGUACAUGGUGCUGGUACCUAUGUUGAUGCAUAUGGAAGGCCUGUUGUUCAGAUGAGUGUUGGACCAGCAGCUGAUGGGAUGAUCGCAUAUGGUAGUGGCAAUGGUGCAUCAGUCACUGGCGGGAUCAGUGGUACAGUUGCCUCUAACACUGGCGGUGGUGUUGCUAAUUGGGGAGCAUCCUAUGAUCCAUCUCUUGGUUGGAAGUAAAAACGAUACUCUUUCAUUAAAGCAUGUCAAUAGGGUUUGUGAUUGGCAAAAUGGGUUCACUGUCAUAAACUUGCUAAUAGGUGAAUUUUAUGAGCUUCCACCAGAGGAUUUUUGGAAGCUUUUUCUUGGCUAGUGCUUUGCAUUUCUAAGAUGCACUGGUUGAGUGUGAAUUUGUUUUUGUAUAAAUUAUAGGUUCAUUACUUUCUUCUCGGUUGGCUAAGUUGCAUAUACCGGAAAAAGAAAUACAGUCGGUCAAAUGUUUUGGCUUCACUCUAUUUUGUAUCCUUCUAGUUUAUCAAUACAUUUUUAGAAGUAUAACUAGAAAAAAUGAACAAAACAAAAAAAGACUACGAUUACUCUUCAAAAUUGAAAGUAUAGUUACCAAAAUUAUUUUGAUUUUAUAUUUGGUAAGAUCCGCCGCAUGUAUAUUAUUUGAAUAAUAUUUACAAUCGAAAAUAAAUAAUUUGAAGAAAAACACGUCAGCACUACAUUACCAUCAUUAAAUCAAAAUUGUCAACUUAAAAGCCACAGCUCGAAGCCAUUGAGAUGAGCCAAAAUUGGAGCCCAAGCUGUCAACUUGAAAGUCCAACAACCUAAACCAUUCAGACUAGUCUUGACAGGGGCCGCGCGAACGCAGGCCCCCACUGCCACAAAUUACGACGUAGGCUCUCCCACUUGGGGAGACCUUAGGACGGCACCCCUUCAGAGUGCAAUGAAGGUCGCUAACCUAGGCCAUAGGCCUUAUUGAUCACCCAUCGACCCCGUCCAG
rnacentral:lncRNA from 1 species